rnacentral:rRNA from 1 species
GAUGAACGCUGGCGGCGUGCCUAAUACAUGCAAGUCGAGCGAACGGACGAGAAGCUUGCUUCUCUGAUGUUAGCGGCGGACGGGUGAGUAACACGUGGAUAACCUACCUAUAAGACUGGGAUAACUUCGGGAAACCGGAGCUAAUACCGGAUAAUAUUUUGAACCGCAUGGUUCAAAAGUGAAAGACGGUCUUGCUGUCACUUAUAGAUGGAUCCGCGCUGCAUUAGCUAGUUGGUAAGGUAACGGCUUACCAAGGCAACGAUGCAUAGCCGACCUGAGAGGGUGAUCGGCCACACUGGAACUGAGACACGGUCCAGACUCCUACGGGAGGCAGCAGUAGGGAAUCUUCCGCAAUGGGCGAAGGCCUGACGGAGCAACGCCGCGUGAGUGAUGAAGGUCUUCGGAUCGUAAAACUCUGUUAUUAGGGAAGAACAUAUGUGUAAGUAACUGUGCACAUCUUGACGGUACCUAAUCAGAAAGCCGCGGCUAACUACGUG